GGAAGCUCCAACAGCAACAAAAACAAAAUAAAAGGAAGACAGUGAUUAAGUGACUAACUCCAAACAUAAGAUAAAUCUUAGAACUGGAAGUAGAAUCUGCCAAAAGUUUAAGCAGUCUGAAGAUUUUAGAAUGGUAUCCUUCAAUUCGAAGGGAGAAUGAUACAUUCUAAGUUAUAAGUAGACUACUAGGAAAUAAUGACACAGUCCAUUAAAAAGUAUUAAUGACUUUUCUCAAGGAUAAUCACAUUUUGCAGAUAAUGGGGAAUCUCAAAGUAACUCCAUUCUUUACUGGGUUCACAUUUUAUGGGAAUUUGUAUUGAGCAGAUAUUGUCGGUGAAUCCAUGAAAAACAUUGGUCUGGGCAUCAAGUAGAAUUACUGGAAGCAGAAAACAAGAAUGCGCAGAGACAUGUAAUAUGGAGAACUUAAAGGAAUGGUAUCAGAUCUACUGUUGAACUGAAGAAGUAGCCUGGCAACAAUCUUGGUGUAUGAGAGCUCAGUUCAGAAUAAUUUAGAAUGGAAAGUAUAUUUAAAAUGCUGUGAGAAAGCCUGAAUUAAAAUUGAACUUUGAAAUGACAAAACAUAAAACAGUGUAAAAGCAGUUAAGGUUAAUGUUGUCUGAAACCUGUUUUUGAAAGACCUGUAAGGAUGAUGUAGGGAAAAAAAAAUUUUCUUUUAAUCUCUUAGUUGUUUUUUUUCUUAAAGUAUGGAUUCUUGAAGACAGAUUUUUACUAGUUACUUCAUUACUUUGACCUUGGUAAAUACAGCAAGGCAGGUAAUUGUCCUUUGGUCUGAGUAUUAAAAGUAUUGUUAUUUUAAAAUAAAUAUUAAAAAAAAGAGACUAAUUCUAACCACUUUAAAAACUCCUUGCGCAUAUGCUUUGUGUGUUAGCUUUUUCCUAAUGUAAAAUGAAUCUCAAUAUGCCGUAUGAUUGUGACAAAUAAGAAACUCUUUGUGUAAUUAAGAGAAGAUCUGUUUAUUUAAGAGCUCUCAAAGGUUGUAAAAGAUUAUACUUGGCUAUAUGUGAAGGAUAAAUGUUGUGCAAUAAUGUCCCUUAGUUCCCCUUUUAUAAUAAAUCUCAGCUGUGUGUUCAGCACAGGGGCUCAGAGCCAAAAAGAACAGGUUCAACUUGUCUGUGAGGAUUUGCACCAUAGUAAAGUGCACAACUGCUUUUGUAGAGGUCAUUUUGGAGGUCACAAUCAUGUACAGCUGAAUGAAAAGCAACUUUAAAAACACGGUAGAAGAGUCCGUGUUAUGUUACUUGUAAUUCAGGAAUCAGUGUUAAUUUAAAAUGUUAAAAGCAUAGAAAAUCAUAAACAGAAUCCUCAAAUUCAUUUUUUUAAUUUUACUUACAUUUGUUUAUAUUUUCAAAUGGAUUUAAAAUCAUUUCUUUGGCACUUGUGCCAGCACAUUUUUAAAGAAUAUUUUAGAGUCACUUUCUUAAUAACUGCCCAGACUUGGAAACAUUGACUGUUGUACUGUUCGUUAAAUUCUAAACAGCGUUCUGAACAGUGCUCAUAUAAUGAAGGUAGGAUAUGAGCGUGGUAGAAUGAAGUAGUCAGGGUCGGGGCAGGGAAGUGUGGGUGAGUUUAAAUGAAAGGGCAGAUGUGAUCUGAAGGAGAAUGCCCCCUCGAGUCAGAUUUCUCCCGCAGCCUGUGAUUGAAUGUUCAAUAUUUAACAACAAAGAAAAUCUCAUCUUCUUUUUAUGUAGUGUGAUUCUUUUUUGAAGUGCCUCACAAAUACUUUCAUGUGUUUAUGGUCAAUAGAGAUAACUCGGACUCCCAACCAGUGGAAACUUUAGGUUUUGUAUAAAGAACAGCAGAAAAUGAUACAACUAAGUAAUUAAUUGAAAGUAGAGCUUAAACGUGAAAUUGUGUUUUAUCUAGUGUUAUACUUGGUCAUAGAGUGACAGUGUCUUUAUUUUUAAAAAUGAUGAUCUUAGCUAAAUGGCAGGUAGCCAUUGGUUUCAAUAUUGAGAUUAAUUAGUAAUCUUCAGAAUGUGCUUCAGCAAAUGCAGCUGAUUGGCAGUUGCACCUGUCUCAGCAACUGGUAGAACAUUAGUGCUUUUAUCGAGCCUGUUAUUUCCAGAAGGGUUUCAAAGCUGUGUUCAUUAAACUCUCCCAUGCUGAUUGCUUUCUUUGCUUCCUGGGUACUGUUUUACUAAAUUUACCUAUGUUUUAUUUAUUUAUGAAAGGAGGAUUAUAAAAUAAAAUUAAAAAAAAAAAAUGAAAAACCUAAAACAAACUAUGUGAUUAUCUGUGUAUUCCUGUAUUUAUGGAACCACCGUUUAUGUUCCGUGAACACAUGCAUAUGUUUCCGUAUGAUGAAAAAUUUACCAAGGAUUGUAAUUUCUCUGCACUGCUUUUUAAACAAUUAUUUAUAUAUUUUAAAGGCUGCCUUUAGCAAUGCUUUUUUUUCUUGUAAUUUUUUUAUUAUGGUGAAAAUGUACACAGUAAAACAUACACCAAUUCUACAAUUUCUACACGUAUAAUUCAGUGACAUUGAUUACAUCCUUCAGGUGGUGCAGCCCUUCUUUCUAUCUUUCCAAAUUAUUCCACCACCAUUAACAAACUCACUGACCCCUGAGCAAAAACUCUCUCUUUCUCCCCCCCUUCCAUCCCUGGUAGCCAUUAUUAAUUUUUUGUUUCUGUAUUUUUGCUUAUUUCAUGCAAGUGGAAUCAUAGUAUUUGUCCUUUUGUGACUGACCUAUUUUGCUCAGCAUAAUGUUUUCAAGGUUCCUCUAUGUUGUGGCAUGCAUCAGGACUUCAUUUCUCUUGAUGGCUGUGUAAUAUUCCAUUGUAUGUAUAUACCACAGUUUUGCCUAUGCAUUCAUCUGUUGUUGGACGUUUUGGCUAUUUCUGCCUUUUGGCUAUUGUGAAAAGUUCUGCAAGGAACGUUGGUGUAUAGAUUUCUGUUGUGUUCCAGCUUUCACUUCUUCAGGGUGUAUACCUAAGAUUGGGUUUGCUGGGUCAUGUGGUAGCUCAACGUUGAACUUUUUUGAAGCCAAACUGUUUUCCACAGUGGCUGCUACCGUUUUAUAUUUCCUACUAGCGAUGAAUAAGGGUUCCUGAUUUUUCCACAACCUUGCCAAUGCUUGUUGUUUUCCAGUUUUAUUAUUAUUUUUUUUAAGUCAUUAUCAUUCUAAUGGGAUGAGAUGGUAUCUCAUUGUGGCUUUGAUUUGUAUCUCCCUAAUGGAAUCCAGUCAAAGCAAUGAGUUCGGUUUUUUUUUUUUUGGGGAGUAAUGAAUGACAUUGAGCGUCUUUUCACAUGCUUGUUGGCUCUUUGAAUAUCCUCUUGGUGAAAUGUCUAUUCAAGUCCUUUGCCCAUUUUUUGAAGUUGGGUUGUGUGUCUUUUUGUUGUUUAGUUGUAGAAGUAUUUUAUAAAUUUUGGGUUUAGAGCCUUCUCUGAAUUGCUUCUGUAAUCUAUAUAAUAAACAUAAAACAUCUGUUGAGUUUUGAAAAAUGAUCUGUUAAAAAGUACAGUAAAGUAUGAUUUAAAGGACUGAUGAGUAUAGUCAACUUUGUAGAAAGGUAGUUUCUUUCUACAUUGUUAGGGAGUAUUCCUUCUAGUUGAAGUAGUCUUUAUGGUUUACAUUUCAAAACACAGGGAAUUUGCAUUAAUUCAUAUACAAACCACCAAUUUGUAUGUUGUUUAAGGAAGACAUUUUGGCUAGUUAUGAAAAGAAGACUAAACUUCUAAGGGCCUAAAAGGAUGAAACACAUAUCUCAGUAUAAGUGAAAUUCACAUCAACUCAAAUCUGUUAUAGGUAAAUAGAAUGUAAAUAGUUUAUAAAAUAAAUUGGUAUGUUUUAAUGAACUAGGGUAACUUUCUUUUAAAAGCACUUGUACUGAAUAUGCAAGUAUUUUUUAAACAAGCACCUUUUAAUUUGUGUUUAAUAAAUACAAAUUCAAAUAUACAUUGUUAAAUACUCGAAAGUAGGUUUAGUUUUGGUAGUGUAUCCUUUCUGUCGUACGUUCAGUACCUGACAUCCACUAAAUGUUUAAAUAAAUGAAUAUUCAUAUUGUGAUAACUGCAAUAGAAAUGUGUUUGGUGGAUUUGGCAAUACAGGAUUUAAAGCAUGGAUAGACUACAUGGCCUUGGAGAGCUUCGGUUUCCCUUCCGGUAAAAUAGGCAAAAUGAUACCUCAAAUGUAUGGAUAGUGCCGAGCAUAGUGCUUCUCAUAUAGUAGAUGUUUAAUAAAUAUUUUUUUGUUCUCUGCAUGGAACCACAUUGCUAGUAAUCACAUUUCAUAUCUAUGUAACUUUAAUAAAAGACAGGUUAUGCCAAAUUACAAGUGAAUAGGAAGAGGUGUUCUAAAUAUUCUGUAUCAUUCUACAUUUUACAGUCUAGAUCUAAUUGGUAGUUUUUAUGAGUGUUGGUGGAUAUAGGUAUGUCUUCGGUUUGGGGAAGGUAGGUUGGGAUGAUUAGGGUAUUUAUAGUAUUUGUUGUUUGCGUUUAGGACAGAAGAAAGGUAAAGUCAGCUACACCUUGGCUUAGCUCUUCACUUACUUUCUACAAAGGGAAUGGCAUGGCAAUCACUUGUUCUGUAGUUCUUGUCAGGUUCUGUCAAGACGGUUCUGACUCAUAGUGACCCUGUGUACAACGGAACAAAACACUGCCUAGUCCUGUGUCAUCCUCACAGUUGUUAUGCUUGAACCCAUUGUUGCAGCUGCUAAUUCUGUAGUUAAAUGAUCUCAAAUAGAAGCAGGAAAUUUGUUGUAUAAUUUUGGGGGGAGGGGAAUGGGGUAGGAGAUAGGAGGGGAUGGAAUACUGUGGAUGAUUACAAAACAUUUUAUCAUGCAUGAAACAAACAUAGUGAAUAUAUACCAAGCACUUUUCUAGGCACUGAGGAUUCAGAUCUAAUUAAGAUAUGAUCUCUUGAAUUCUCUAUAAUGGUAUAAAGAAUCUGUUCACUGAAAAAAAACCUGCUUUUAGAAGGCUACUAAUCUUAUGUGAUAUUUUUGUUUUGCUUAUAUAAUAUUAAUAGCUAUUAUUUGUUGAGUGUUGAGAACCCUAUAUAGAACAAUUUUCGUAUUUUAUCAUAUUGAGAAAUUUAUGCUUACAUACAUGAGUCAGAAUCGACUCGACGGCACUGGGUUUGGUUUUUUUGGUUUAUGUAUAUAUUAUAUAUAUAUGAAAAACAAACCUGAUGCCGUCAAGUUGAUUCCAACUCAUAGUGACCAUAUAGGACAGAGUAGAACUGCUCCAUAGGGCUUCCAAGGAGUGGCUGGUGGAUGUGAAUGCUGACCUUUUGGUUAGCAGCCAAGCUCAUAACCACUGCACCACCAGAGUUAGCCAAAAGUUCAAUUAUGAUGCCAAGGAUUCUUUCUUAGAAGUUAUUUUUAUAAUUACAGAAAGUAAAUGAGCUAAAAUGUUAUAUGCUGAAAGAUUGUUUUCAAAAUUUCUGUUAAAUACAUCUUUCCUUAAAAUUAAUGCAGACUCUUUUAAGGAGAUAGGUUUUGUCUCGCAAAUAGCCUCCUUGAUGUUUUUCUUUUUUGAUCUUUUUAUAGAAACAGAUAUAAUUUGCUGGACGCUGUGUCCUCUUGGCAACAAAUGGUAGUUCAGUAGCAAGACAAGCAUCAGAGAAAGAAUGUAAAAAUAAUCUUUUUCAACACUGCCUCAUUUGUCAGUGCCCUACCUUUCCUUUAAGGGAUUGCUGUUAUCUCCCAAUUUUCACUUACAGUUUGAUGAAAAUAAUCACAUCUGCUCAGUAUUUCUAUUUCCUUAACUCCCAUCAUUUAUACUCUGGCUUCUGUUUUCACUACUGUACUGAAACUACUGUUGGUACUGAAAUUUCCUCCACUAGGAAUGCUCUUUCUUCCCCUCCAUUUCAGUCCCAAUUCAACCUUCAGAGUCCAUCUCAAUAUCAUUUCUUCCAUGAAUUCAGUUGAAUGAACAUUAAAAUGUUCAGUAGAGUCAUAUCAUAUACACAUCUAGCUCGUCUGAAUUUAACUAAAGAUGAAAACACUAAAUCAGGGAGAAAAAUAGGAAAAAAUUCCCCUCUUUUCCCAGUAAAAAAUCGUUUUGAAACAACAUGGAUGCCAAAUGCAAACCAACGGCUUAAUCUGGUUUUCUAGAAGAAACAGCAAUGCGCUAAUGCUGAAAGAAAAAUUGGCUGAGUUGGAUAUGUAUAAAGAGAUUACAAAGUACAAAUACUGUAUGAUCCCACUUAUAGGAAACAGACAGAUGUAUAGAAACCAAAGCUUAUUAGUGGUUAGCAGGGGUGGAAGGGAACAAGAAGGAGGGAGUCAUUGUUUAGGGGGUGCUGAGUUUCUAUUAAUGGUGGUGGAAUAAUUUACAAAAGGAUAGCAGUGAUGGUUGCACAACAUGAUGAACAUAAUGUCACUGAAUUGUAUGUAUGAAAACUAUUGAAUUGGCUAAUGUUUUGUUGUAUAUAUAGUUACCAUAAUAAAAAAAUUAAAAAACAAAAGCAUCAGAUAAAGCUAAGAAAGUGGAACAGGAAGACAGAGGAAUCUGGUUUCUUGAUGUCAUCAUCUAGCCUUGUACUGCUUACUCCUUGGACUUCCUGUUGCAAGAUAUAAAUAUACUCCCAUAUCUUAAGCUACUGUGGAAAAAAAAAAGAGAUUAUAAUAAGCACACAACUUUAUGGGCUACUUAAGGGAUUUUCCAUGGGUUAUUUUAACCAAUGAAGGAGCCCUGGUGGUGCAGUGGCUAAGUGGUUAAGUGGUCGGCUGUUAACUGAAAGGUCGAUGCUUCGAACCUACCACCUAUCCCACGGGAGAAAGAUAUGGGAGUCUGCUUCUGGAAAGAGUAUAGCCUUGGGAACCCCAUGAAGCAGUUCUACUCUGUCCUGUAGGGUGGCUCUGAGUCAAAAUCGACUUGACAGCAAUAGGUUGGGGUUAUUUUGACCACUUUUUGCCUUACUCUGACUUUAGAGAAAACCCCGGUGGCAGAGUGGUUAAGUGCUAUGGCUGCUAACCAAAAUGUUGGCAGUUCAAAUCUACCAGGCUCUCCUUGGAAACCUUAUGGGGCAGUUCUACUCUGUCCAAUAGGGUCGCUGUGAGUCGGAAUUGACUCGAUGGCAGUGGGUUUGUUUUUUUUGGUUCUGACUUUAGAACCUAAUCCCUGUGAAAGAUGUGACCUUACUGUAUAGCUGUGUUGAACUUGAGUUAGUCACAUCACUUAGAAGAUAACAUUUGGAUUUCUCUUAGAUGUAUUAAGUGUAGAACUAUCUGAGGCAGAGAUGAUUAGCUUAAGUUCCUUGUUUUUAUAUUUGCAUUUUUCAAAUAGGCAGAUAAGCUGUCUUUAUAUUUAUAGCUUUUAGACAGGGAAAUAAGUUGUAUGAAAGCAAUUAUAGUCAAAAGAGGUUAAAGCAGAGGGGGACCAUGCUGUUCCUUUUAUAUUUCAUGUUCACCGUCAGUUUGAGACCCGUGACUGGUUGAAAAUAAUUACACGUGUUAACUAAUACUGUUGCAGUUACAGUUGGCUUCAACUCAUGCUGAGCCCAUGUAUUAUCUUCACGAUCUUUGGUAUGUUCGAGUUCAUUGUUGUGGCCACUGUGUAUUUUGAGUGCCUUCCAACCAGAGGGGCCCAUCUUCUAACAUUACAUCGGACAGUAUUCUGUUGUGGUCCAUAGGGUUUUCACUGGCUAAGUUUUGGAAACAGAUCAUCAGGCCUUCCUUCUUAGCCUGUCUUAGUCUGGACUCCGCUGAAAUCUGUCCACCAUGGGUAACCAUGCUAGUCUUUGAGAUACUGGUGGCAUAGCUUCCAGUAUUGUAGCAACACACAAGCCACCACUGACAGGUGGGAGGAGGUGAGAUGCUUUUAUCAUAUUAAACAAUCUUUUUUUGGUAAAUAUUAUUUCCUAAUUCUUUUCCAGCAUUUUCAUUUGUAAACUUACUUUUUAUUUUUGAAGUUCUUUCUCAAGGAAUAAUUUAUAUUGGGAUAACAGUAAAUGUUCUAAAAUAAGAGUUGUAUAUUUUAAAGAACAUUUUUCUUGUGUAGUAAUUUGAACACUAAAUAGUGUGUGUGGCGGGGAGGGGAUUGUAAAUGAAUUUAGUUUAACAUAUGUGUCCUUAAUGUGGUUCUGCUGUAGUGAAUAGGUCUUAGUCAGGUUUCCAGGUCAAUUUGAUAGAAACAGUUUUGGAGACCUGGCUUGGCCAAUUGAUGAUAUAGCUUUUUAAGGACCAUUUGAUUUCCAGUGGUGAACUAGCACCAGCUAGUUAUAGAAAUCCUUCUUUGAUGUUCUAAAGCAUAUUUUACAUGUUUGAGUGGAACUCAUCAUAGCUAAAGAGCUAGAAAAAUAGGGCGUUGUUCCUAGUGUAUAGAAGAGAAACAUUUAUCCAUUUUCUGGAAAAGUCAGUAGUUUGGUUGUUUGGGCGAGAAAUUUGAGAAAAAAUGGUAAAAUGACUAUUACCAAACAAAAACAAAAACCCAUUUUUGUUGAGUAGAUUCUGACUCAUAGCGACCCUGUAGGGCAGAGUAGAACUACUGCACAAGCUUUCCAAGGCUGUAAUCUUUAUGGAAGCAGACCACCACAUCUUUCUCCUGUGGAGUGAGCGGAUGGCUGGUUUGAACUGUUGACCUUUUGGUUAGCAGCUGAGCACUUAACUACUCUGCCACCAGGGCUCCUUAAAUGACUGUUAGGCACCACAUUUUAAAGGCCAAGGAGUGCUCAUAAAAGCUGAUUUGUGGGAGCAAGCCAGCAUUAGAGCACUUAAAAGAGCCAACUGUAAUAAUUUUUUAAAAAGUUAUAUUCUACUCUGGGAAACCCUGGUGGCGUAGUGGUUAAGUGCUACAGCUGCUAACCAAAGAGUCAGCAGUUCGAAUCUGCCAGGUGCUCCUUGGAAACUCUAUGGGGCAGUUCCACCUGUCCUAUAGGGUCGCUAUGAGUCAGAAUCGACUCGAUGGCACUGGGUUUAUAUUCUACUCAUUUCAAAACUGCAUUCAGAAAGGAAACAUAGUCUGAUAGUUCUGGUAGAGUUGGGAAUCUGGAGAUUAGUGUUUGUUUUUUCCACUGGUUGUUUCUGUAGUAUAUAUAGAAUCAAAUUAUUUCCUCUUAGUGGUUAUAGAAUCAUAGUAGAUUAGACCUGGAAGAUCUUCCAGUCGAACGGUACCUCCCCCCCGCCCCACCACCAAUUAAAAAAAAAAAAAAAUUAUGUGUGAUGAAAAUGAAGCUUAGAGAAAUUAAGUGUUUCACCUCAGUUCAUUGUAGUUUAGAGGCAGUGUCAGGAUAAGUAUAUGUAAGUAUAUAGUUACCUCUUACCAUGAAAUGCCUCGUCCCUCAUUUGUCAUUUUGUUGUUCAUCAUAAAUUUUGAAAGAAAUUAGAGAAAUCCAUUUCUGUGUGGGGAAAUGAAUUGUACCGACCAUGGAAUUAUGUGCUGUCAGGAAGUUAUUCCCAUGCAGCUGUUGCAGUGAUGACAGGCUGACAUCACCCUAGAGUGACCGGAACAUCAUAGUAUAAAAAUUGCUUUGCUUGUUACUAAAAUAAAUUGAAAACAACUGAAUUACUAAAGAAAUGUUACUCAGAAUGAGCAGCUCUAAGCCAGUGCAAGGCAUAUUCUUUUAAGUAUUCUUCUAUCCCACAGGGCCACUAUGAGGUGGAAUUGACUCUGUGGCAAUGGGCUUUUUUUUUGGCGGGGGGAGGGAUCCCAUUAAAAAAUUUUGUGGGAGUAUGUACCCAUACACACAUUUUAAAAAUACAUAUUUAUGUCCAUAUAUAUGUACACACACAUGCACAAAUUGUCAUACUGUAUGUGUGUGUAUACACACAGAAAAUACACAUGCAUAUAUACGCACAGAUAUUUAAAUUAUUAGGACAUUUACCAAAAUGAAACAGUAUUUCGAAGAUGCCUCAAUUGUUUUUCAAAAGACUUCCUGUAGAUAUGGUCUCUGAAAAUAGUCACUAGAAUUAUAGUGGUUUAAUGCUGUAAGAACAGUGAAAUAUUUUAUUUUCUAACUUCAUUUAGCAAUGGUAACACAUUCUAUAGAAUUUGAUAAAUUCAGCAUUAUGAGAAAACUGAGUUUAAGAAAAUAACUACCUCUACAAUUUUUUCUUAUAUUUAGAUGACCCUAAGAAAUAAAAGCAGAAGGCACAAUCUCACUGUAGUAUGAUUUACUAAAAUGUCAGCUCCCUGAGGUCAGGUGCUUGUAUCUGCUGUACUUUCUUUCAGUUCCUGGCAUAUGGUAGGUGUUCAGUAUUUGUGUGUGGAUGGGUGGUAAAUGUCACAGAACAACCACAAUGUUUUGUUAUGUAAAAUUUUGUUAAAUGGCUAGAAAGCACAUUCUCAGUCCAGGGAUAAAAGGCAUUCAGAGACUCUCCGUAAUGAGUGAAAUGAAAGAAAAAAAUGCUGACGUUUGGAGAAGGGAAGAUGCAGUAUUCCUCCUGUACUCUCAUAAUACAUGUGGCUAACAAAAUUCUAAUUGUUUAUGCUUAGUAAGAGCAUUCUUAAAUUUACAGAAUUUGGAAGCCCUCACAUGCCCUUUUGUAUUUUUCAUUCAUACACAAACUAUUGAGCAGCUCUUCAGUCCCAGGCACUGUGCUAGAUGGCAUAGUAGUGAAUGUAGUGCUUUACCAUCUAGUGUGGGGAAAGAGAUGUUAAACAUAAUUAUGCAGAGAGUUUAACAAGUUUACAGAGCUUAUUAGCAAAUAUGUUGAAGAUGGGCUAGUCUGGUGAACAAAAGUGAUUUAAAUAAGACAGAAAAAUUAGAGUCUUGAAUUUAAAAGUGUGUUAAAAGAUUUCCGGAAUCAUUUAACUUAUUAGCCUAAAUUGCUGGUACUUCAUGAAGUAUAAAUUCUUCUGUAUAAUUAACAGAAAAGCAUAUACUGCUUGGUAUAGAACUGUAUUUUCAUUUUUAGUGUUUUUAUUUAUCACUUAUUUCAACAGCUUAUAUCUGAUGAUUACUAAUUGACUAUUGCUGUUAUUUUUUUUAGAACAUAAUAUAUUUUCUUUGGUAAUGUUAUUUUAAAUGGUUUGGUGUAUUCUAAUUUUUUUUCUUUUUAAUAAUGAUCAGAAUUUUUUAAAAAUAGAAAUUGUUUUUAGGUUUAGUUUCAUCUCUUAAUGAGUGGGUGCCAGAAAUCCAGAUAAUAUUUUUCAUUCGUAAACUAAGUACUGAUCUUUCAGAAUUAGCACAAAGGUAGUCUAUAUGAUUUCCUUAUUUGGGGAGAAAAAAUAAUGAUAAUAUUUGUAGUGUAUAAAUUAUCUGAUAAAACUCUAUAAAUUGUGAACUAUUUUUUUAUAGUAGCCUUCAAAUUUUUUGAGUAAGAAAAGUUAAACACUGCAUUUCAGAUUAUUACUUCAAAAUACAACUAUGAAUAACUACUUUUGUCAGCAUUUACAUUGUUUCUUCAAAUGUUUGUAUGUUUUCCUAUAUGGAAAUAAGCUGGAUUUUAGAAAAUCUUUGUACAUACACUUAUAUUUUUGACUAGCAAAUGACUGAAAUAUAAUCUAGGGCUCUUUGCUGUAUCUCAGAGAAGAAACAGAGGUUCCAUUUUGUUACAUUCCAGGAGACUAAAAGCAUUAGUUAAACUAUUGAAUGUACGGUUUGCAUACAUGUUUUUUCCUCUGAGUGUGGGUAUCAUCUAAGGUUGUAUGCUUUGCUUUGGCUCUUCUCUCUACAUUUUUACCCUCAACGCCUCAUUUAUUUUUUAUAUGGCAAUAACAACAAAAAUGUAAAGAUCCUCAGUUUUGUGUUAUAUUUAAUAAAAGCAACAACAUUUACUUGUAUCUCUUAACGUGGGUGUUUUUCAAGACUCAGUGCCAGAGGCUCAUACUUCUCUAUAUGUUUGUCCUCUCCCCGCCAGUCCUAUUCAUUCUUGUGACUUUGCCCAUCGUUCUGAUGCUGACAAUAGCCAAAAUUCUCUUGAGUUUAUAUUUUUUAGCUCCCUUUACUGAAAAUUUCUCCUUGGAUAUUUUCACAGUCAGCAGUGUUGAAUUGGUUUGAACCACCGUUAAACUCUUUUUAUUUUGUAACAGCUUUGUUGAGGUAUGGAGCCCUGGUGACACAGUGGUUAGGAGCACAGGCUGCUGACCAAAAGGUGGGCAAUUCAAAUCCACCAGCAGCUCCUUGGAAACCCUAUGGGGCAGUUCUACGCUGUCCUAUAGGGUCGCUAUGAAUCAGAAUGCACUUGAUGGCAGAGGGUUUUUUGUUGUGGUAUAAUUUAUUUACCAUAAAAUUUACUCAGUUUAAGUUUACAAUUUAGUGAUUUUUAGUAAAUGCACAGGAUUGUGCAACCAUUGUGACAAUCCAAUUUUAGAACAUUUUCGUCAUUCUAAAAAAUCUUUUAAUUCAUUUGCAGUCACUCCGUAUUCACAACCCCAACCCUUAGCAACUGUCUGCUUUCUGUCUCUAUAGUUUUGCCUUUACUGGACAUUUGAUUUAAUGGAAUCAUGCAAUAUGUGGUACUUUGCAUCUAGCUUCUUUCACUUAGCGUAAUGUUUUUUGAAGUUUAGUCAUGCUGUAGCAUGUAUCAGUACUUCAUUUUUUUUUGCCGAAUAGUAUUGUAUUUGGCAUAUUUGUAUGAAUGUAUACAUAUUCGUAUUGUACGAACACGCCACAUGUUUAUUCAGUCACCAGUUGAUGGACAUUUGGACUGUUUCCACUGCUUGACCUCUAUGAAUAAUGCUGCUAUGAACAUUUACGUACAAAUCUUUUUGUGGACAUAUGUUAUCUCUUCUUUUGGGUAGAUACCUAUCAGAGGAAUUGCUGGGUCAUAUAGUAAAUUUAUUUUUAACUUCAAAAAAAAAAAAAAAAGCUACCAGACUAAUUUCCAAAGUGACUGCACCAUUUUAUACUCCCAUCAGCAAUGUUCGAGGGUUUAAAUUUCUCCACAUCCUUGUCAACACUUGUUAUUGUCUGUGUUUUUGAUUAUAGUUAUUCUAUUGGGGGCAAAGUGGUAUCUUCUUAUAAUUUUAAUUUGUUUUUUUCCUAAAGAUUAAUGAUAAGCUUAAUCAUGCUGCCUUUAUUCUGGCUUCCGUGCUUUUGUUUAUGAGGUUGCAGUUUCUUGGAAUGCCUUUUACUUAUGUAUCUGUCUUACUUAUCCUUGAAAAAAAUUCAGAUCAAGCUCUGUUUCUUUCAUUGAUAUUUGUGUCAUUUAUCUGAUACUCCUUGUCCAAACUGCUGUAGUGUGUAUAAUUUGUAUUAUAAAAUUUCAUAUUAGUAUAUUGGCUUUAGUUUCUUGUUUCUUUAGCAAAAUUGUUCUUUUAUUCUAUCUCCUACAAAACUAUGCAAAUUGCUGAAAACAAAGUCAAUAUAUACUCUUUCCUGUGUGAGAGACGAUAUCCAGAUAUCAAACAUGAAUAAUAUGGAGUACUGUAUACUUAAGAAACAAAAUGAAUGGCACAGAUUAUUAAAUAUUGUAGUAACCAAAGUUUCAUUAUACAAAUACACAGGACAAAUGCAAAAUUUAACACAAAUAAUGUACAUCUUCUAUGUAUGUUUGCCAAUCAGGCCCUCCCCCAUGGAGGUAUUUCU